rnacentral:rRNA from 1 species
AUUGAACGCUGGCGGCAGUCCUAACACAUGCAAGUCGAGCGAGCGGCGGACGGGUGAGUAAUGUAUGGGGACUGCCCGAUAGAGGGGGAUAACUACUGGAAACGGUGGCUAAUACCGCAUACUAUCGGAUAACCCAUAUGGGAUGAGCUAGUAGGUGGGGUAAAGGCUCACCUAGGCGACGAUCACUAGCUGGUCUGAGAGGAUGAUCAGCCACACUGGGACUGAGACACGGCCCAUACUCCGCCGGAGGAAGCAGUGGGGAAUAUUGCACAAAGGUCUAAAGCCUGCUGCAGCCAUGCCGAGUGUAUGAAGGAGGCCUUAGGGUUGUAAAGUACUUUCAGCGGGGAGGCGUUACCCGCAGAAGAAGCACCGGCUAACUCCGUGCCAGCAGCCGCGGUACUUC